GUGAGCUGGGUUCAGAACGUCGUGAGACAGUUCGGUCCAUAUCCGGUGUAGGCGUAAGAGAAUUGAGAGGAGCCUUCCUUAGUACGAGAGGACCGGGAAGGACGCACCGCUGGUGUACCUGUUAUCGUGCCAACGGUAAACGCAGGGUAGCCAAGUGCGGAGCGGAUAACCGCUGAAAGCAUCUAAGUGGGAAGCCCACCUCAAGAUGAGUUCUCUGUUGGGGUCAACCCAGUAAGGUCACGGAAAGAACAUCCGUUAAUAGGCGCUAGGUGGAAGUUCAGUAAUGGAUGAAGCCAAGGCGUACUAACAGACCGAGCGCUUGACCUC
rnacentral:rRNA from 1 species